GGCCGCACAGCAGCACAAAAGGUCAGCGGACGUGGUCUCUGUUUCCCGCUGCGCCACCAGGCCCGGCCCUGAAUUGCACAGACGCUCUGGGGGCUGCGUCCUGGGCCGAGUGCUGGUACGCAGAGUGCGGGGGGGGGGGGGGGACACAUGGGGACGUGGCACCUGCAGGCGGAUGUCUUGCAGGCCAGGCUUCCCAGACCCUCCGUAACAGGCGUCGCUGCAUUUUCGAGUCCUCUGUACACCUUGCUCCUGGCUGACCCAGAAGUGACCCCCUUCAUUCUUGGCUCUGGCCUUACUCUUUGGGGCUGGGGUUGGACCUCUCUUCCGGGAGGCCUUCCUGGGCCCUGCCAGCCCCGGAGGCCCAGCUCAGGGCAUAAAAAUGACCACAGUGACUCACAAAGUCCCCCACCUCAGCCCCCUUGCGGGGAAAACGGGAACGUCUCAGGAGCCCAUGAGCUAAAUGUGUGCAAAACGCUGCCGUAGACAGCAGUUCUUUGGAAAUGCCAAAGUGCUUUGAGAUCCAGAAAGCACGUCACUAACCACGGCAGCCAACCUCCAAGAUGGCCUCCAGAGACCCUCCCUGCUGGUAUUUACGACCUCAUACGGCCUCUUCCGACUCCAAGUGGCCUGGGCGAUGACAGGAUAGUGUGGAAAAGGCAGAGGGUGACUUCCCAGCGAGGCCACAAGGGGCAGGGACUUCCUCCUUGUGCCCGUGGGCCACCCAUCCUGUCAUGAAGAUGCUCAAGCAGCCCAUGGACAUGGCCAGGUAAGAGGAGCUGGGGACCAGCCAGCAGUGGCCAGUACUGAUGCGUGGGCCGCCUUGGAGGAGGGGAUCCUCUGCCCCAGGAGCUGUGGCUGGGGGCGCCUCCUGUGGGGGCCACCGUGAUGGUGUCAGGUGGGGGCUUCCCUAUGAACACAGGGCGCCAGCCCGGGUCUCACGCACCAGCAGCCCCCAAACUUACUUGGAUUUCCCAUCAGCCGCCUUCCCAGAGCAGGGGCCAGAUGAGGGGCUCGGAAGCCCCCUCCCUGGCCCCCCCCCCCCCCCCGAUCCAAUCAUUGCCCCUGUUUGGACAGGAAAAAGGCCCUCACUGGUUUUCCCCAGUCCGCAGCUUAUGCCAAUAAAGUCUGUGUUCUCACUCAAAAACCC